rnacentral:tRNA from 1 species
GGAGAGGUGGCCGAGUGGUUUAAGGCGCACGCCUGGAAAGCGUGUUGGCGGCAACGUCUCGCAGGUUCGAAUCCUGUCCUCUCCGCCA